GACGAACGCUGGCGGCGUGCCUAAUACAUGCAAGUAGGACGCAGUUGCGAACGGGUGAGUAACGCGUAGGUAACUACCUAUUAGAGGGGGAUAACUAUUGGAAACGAUAGCUCAUACCGCAUACUAGUAGAUGGACCUGCGUUGUAUUAGCUAGUAGGUAGGGUAAUGGCCUACCUAGUCAACGAUACAUAGCCGACCGGAAAGGGUGAUCGGCCACACUGGGACGGAGACACGGCCCAGGCUCCUACGGGAGGCAGCAGUGGGGAAUCUGCGGCAAUGGACGAAAGUCUGACCGAGCAACGCCGCGGGAGUGAAGAAGGUUUUCGGAGCUUAAAACUCUGUGGUUAGAGAAGCGGUAUCUAACCAGAAAGCCACGGCUAACUACGUGCCAGCAGCCGCGGUAAUUC
rnacentral:rRNA from 1 species